GCGGAUGCGCGUGCUACACAUGCAGUCGAACGAUGAUCAGGAGCUUGCUCCUGUGAUUAGUGGCGAACGGGUGAGUAACACGUGAGUAACCUGCCCCUGACUCUGGGAUAAGCGUUGGAAACGACGUCUAAUACUGGAUACGACUGCCGGCCGCAUGGUCUGGUGGUGGAAAGAUUUUUUGGUUGGGGAUGGACUCGCGGCCUAUCAGCUUGUUGGUGAGGUAAUGGCUCACCAAGGCGACGACGGGUAGCCGGCCUGAGAGGGUGACCGGCCACACUGGGACUGAGACACGGCCCAGACUCCUACGGGAGGCAGCAGUGGGGAAUAUUGCACAAUGGGCGAAAGCCUGAUGCAGCAACGCCGCGUGAGGGAUGACGGCCUUCGGGUUGUAAACCUCUUUUAGUAGGGAAGAAGCGAAAGUGACGGUACCUGCAGAAAAAGCACCGGCUAACUACGUGCCAGCAGCCGCGGUAAUACGUAGGGUGCAAGCGUUGUCCGGAAUUAUUGGGCGUAAAGAGCUCGUAGGCGGUUUGUCGCGUCUGCUGUGAAAUCCCGAGGCUCAACCUCGGGCUUGCAGUGGGUACGGGCAGACUAGAGUGCGGUAGGGGAGAUUGGAAUUCCUGGUGUAGCGGUGGAAUGCGCAGAUAUCAGGAGGAACACCGAUGGCGAAGGCAGAUCUCUGGGCCGUAACUGACGCUGAGGAGCGAAAGCGUGGGGAGCGAACAGGAUUAGAUACCCUGGUAGUCCACGCCGUAAACGUUGGGCGCUAGAUGUAGGGACCUUUCCACGGUUUCUGUGUCGUAGCUAACGCAUUAAGCGCCCCGCCUGGGGAGUACGGCCGCAAGGCUAAAACUCAAAGGAAUUGACGGGGGCCCGCACAAGCGGCGGAGCAUGCGGAUUAAUUCGAUGCAACGCGAAGAACCUUACCAAGGCUUGACAUACACCGGGAAACGGCCAGAGAUGGUCGCCCCCUUGUGGUCGGUGUACAGGUGGGUGCAUGGUUGUCGUCAGCUCGUGUC
rnacentral:rRNA from 1 species